rnacentral:rRNA from 1 species
AGCGAACGCUGGCGGCAGCCCUAACACAUGUAAGUCGAAUGACCUCUUCGACGUACUUGGCGGUCGGGUGAGUAACCCGCAGGAACGUGCCCUUUAGAUCGGCAUAACUCAGGGAAAAUCGCUCCACUCCCCAACGUGCGCUUCAGGGGAAACAUUCAUCGCUAUUAUAGCGGCUCGCGCCAGAUUAGCUAGUUAGGGGGGUAACGGCCCGCCCAGGCGACCACCAGCAGCUGGUCUGGGGGGAUGACCAGCCACACUGGGACUGAGACACGGCCCAGACUCCCGCGUGAGGCAGCAGGGUUGAAUCUUGCGCAAUGGACGAAAGCCGGACGCAGCCAUGCCGAGUAAAUGAUGAAGGUCUUAGGAUUGUAGAAUUCUUUCGCCGGUGACCAUAAUCACGGUACCCGGGGAAAAGGCCCGGGCUGAUUUCGUG